rnacentral:rRNA from 1 species
UACAGAGGUCUCAAGCGUUGUUCGGAUUCAUUGGGCGUAAAGGGCGCGUAGGCGGCAAGGCAAGUCGGGUGUGAAAGCUUGGGGCUUAACCCCGAAAGGGCACUCGAAACUGCCCUGCUAGAGGGCCGGAGAGGAGAUUGGAAUUCACGGUGUAGCAGUGAAAUGCGUAGAGCUCGUGAGGAAGACCGGUGACGAAGGCGGAUCUCUGGACGGCCCCUGACGCUGAGGCGCGAAGGCUAGGGGAGCAAACGGG